rnacentral:lncRNA from 10 species
AGUGAAACUCCAUCUCUACUAAACAUACAAAAAAUUAGCCGGGCGUGGUGACGCGUGCCUGUAGUCCCAGCUACUCGGGAGGCUGAGGCAGGGGAAUCACUUGAACCCAGGAGGUGGAGGUUGCAGUGAGCUGAGACCAUGCCACUGUACUCCAGCCUGGCAACAGAGCGACACUCGUCUCAAAAAAAAAAAAAAAAAAAAAAAGUCUCUUUUGGCCAGGUGUGGUGGCUCACACCUGAAAUCUCAGCACUUUGGGAAGCCGAGGUGGGUGGAUCACUUGAGUCCAGGAGUUCAAGAUCAGCCUAGGUAACAUGGCAAAACCUCGUCUCUACCAAAAACGAACAAACAAAAAUCAGCCGGAUGUGGUGGUACACACCUGUAGUCCCAGCUACUUGGGAGGCUGAGGCAGGAGAAUCACCUGAGACCGGGAGGCAGAGAUUGCAGAGAACUGAGACUAUGCCAAGGCACUCCAGCCUGGGCGACAGAGCAAGACUCUCUCUCUCUCAAAAAAGAAAAAACAAAAAGCCUCCUUUAAAAAAUGCAGUUUGAUGCUAUAAAUUUAUCAGUUAAUGGUUUUUGGGGCAAAAAAUGUUUUCUGACAUUUCGAUAAGAGCUAUAGACGAAGUCCAGCAUUAGUCAUGACUCUGGACUAAGUCUGGAAAUCUGGAAUCUCUUCCCAGCUCUGGGAGGUACAAAGUUUUAAAAAAUAAGGUCAAAAUGCUGGAAAACAUUCAAUUUAUUUCCUUAUUAACACAAUUGUUCACUCAUAAACGACAGUAACACUUGGUGCUAUGGGUCAUGCACUGAGGUCAGAACAAGGAACAGAAGAAAAUGAGGUAAAUUGGUAAAUCUUUUUGCAGGCUGAGAAGUGAGAGAAUGCUGGCAUGCCUACUCUGUGCUGGGUUUUUUGUUUUUGUUUUUGUUUUUUUUUUGAGAUGGGGUCUUGCUCUAUCGCCCAGGCUGGAGUGCAGUGGCGCAAUCUCGGCUCACUGCAAGCUCCACCUCCUGGGUUCACGCCAUUCUUCUGCUCUUCUGCCUCAGCCUCCCAAGUAGCUGGGACUACAGGCAUCCGCCACCAUGCCUGGCUGAUUUUUUGUAUUUUUAGUAGAGACGGGGCUUCACCGUGUUAGCCAGGAUGCUCCCGAUCUCCUGACCUUGUGAUACGCCCACCUUGGCCUCCCAAAGUGCUGGGAUUACAGGCGUGAGCCACUGCAUCCAGCCCUCUGUGCUGGGUUUUAUGUCGUCCAAUAACUCACAACUAUGUAAUUUAUUUCCUUUUUACAGAUAAAGAAAUGGGGGCUCAGAGCAGUCAAGAACAUGCCCCAAGUUAUUCGUCAGUGAGGCGGAAAUUGUGGUGUCCUUGUGUCUCUCACAGGGCUGCAAUCAAGAUGUUGGCAUGGCUGGG